UACGGAGGGGGUUAGCGUUGUUCGGAAUUACUGGGCGUAAAGCGUACGUAGGCGGAUUAAUAAGUUAGAGGUGAAAUCCCAGGGCUCAACCCUGGAACUGCCUUUAAAACUGUUAGUCUUGAGAUCGAGAGAAGUGAGUGGAAUUCCAAGUGUAGAGGUGAAAUUCGUAGAUAUUUGGAGGAACACCAGUGGCGAAGGCGGCUCACUGGCUCGAUACUGACGCUGAGGUACGAAAGUGUGGGGAGCAAACAGG
rnacentral:rRNA from 1 species